rnacentral:RNase_MRP_RNA from 11 species
UUGCGGCGAGGCCUCUUGGCGGAGCCAGGGCGGCGGGUUAGGGGCCGCUUGCAGCAGCACAGCCAUGCCGUGAGCGCCCUCGAAGGAGGGCGCCAACAGAACGGGGCUCACUCUC